rnacentral:misc_RNA from 1 species
CCAAAAUAUAUACCCAAAUAUGACAUAUACUCGUGGUAUUACUAAAACGACAAUAAAAAGCAAUCAAUUAAGAUAUCCUAUUAAUAGAUCAUUCAAAAACUCCUACUGAACAUCUAAAAAAGUCUGUCCAAAUUACCCAAAAGAAGCUAAAAUAAAUCAUUCUCAAACACAAAAAAAGACUCAAAAUAGAACAUCAAUUUUUAGUUGACUUUGUCUUUUUUCACAUAUGUGCUUCCUUUGCCUUUGCCUCCUCUCACUUUCAGUUUGCUUGCUGCAUUCAACGUUCCUUUUCCCUUAGAUGUGUGAGAUGCCUUUUCGCUAUUAGAUGCCUUUUCGCUAUUAGAUGCCUUUUCGCUAUU